CACAGAUAGAACGAGCAAUUCACGAGUUCUUGGCAGCCCAGAAAAAAGAAACUCUGCCAGCCCCACCUCCAGAACCUGAAAGCCAGGAUCCUCCAGCGCCAUCCCAAGACGCUUCCUAAGGAUAUGUCUGAUACCGUUGGAAAACUCCAUUUAAUGAAGAAAUGAAAUGGAUUCCUGUUUCAUACGAAUAUAACUUUAUUCAACUACGUCA